UACGUAGGGUGCAAGCGUUGUCCGGAAUUAUUGGGCGUAAAGAGCUCGUAGGCGGUUUGUUGCGUCGGCUGUGAAAUCCCGAGGCUCAACCUCGGGUCUGCAGUCGAUACGAGCAAACUAGAGUGUUGCAGGGGAGACUGGAAUUCCUGGUGUAGCGGUGAAAUGCGCAGAUACUCAGGAGGAACACCGGUGGCGGAAGGCGGGUCUCUGGGCAACAACUGAACGCUGGAG
rnacentral:rRNA from 1 species